rnacentral:rRNA from 2 species
AGAGUUUGAUCCUGGCUCAGGACGAACGCUGGCGGCGUGCUUAACACAUGCAAGUCGAACGGUGAAGCCCAGCUUGCUGGGUGGAUCAGUGGCGAACGGGUGAGUAACACGUGAGCAACCUGCCCUUCACUUCGGGAUAAGCCUUGGAAACGGGGUCUAAUACCGGAUAUGAGCGCUCAUCGCAUGGUGGGUGUUGGAAAGUUUUUCGGUGAGGGAUGGGCUCGCGGCCUAUCAGCUUGUUGGUGGGGUAACGGCCUACCAAGGCGUCGACGGGUAGCCGGCCUGAGAGGGCGACCGGCCACACUGGGACUGAGACACGGCCCAGACUCCUACGGGAGGCAGCAGUGGGGAAUAUUGCACAAUGGGCGAAAGCCUGAUGCAGCGACGCCGCGUGAGGGACGACGGCCUUCGGGUUGUAAACCUCUUUCAGCAGGGAAGAAGCGCAAGUGACGGUACCUGCAGAAGAAGCGCCGGCUAACUACGUGCCAGCAGCCGCGGUAUACGUAGGGCGCAAGCGUUGUCCGGAAUUAUUGGGCGUAAAGAGCUCGUAGGCGGUCUGACGCGUCUGGUGUGAAAUCCCAUGGCUCAACUGUGGGCUUGCAUCGGGUACGGGCAGACUAGAGUGCUGUAGGGGAGACUGGAAUUCCUGGUGUAGCGGUGGAAUGCGCAGAUAUCAGGAGGAACACCGAUGGCGAAGGCAGGUCUCUGGGCAGUUACUGACGCUGAGGAGCGAAAGCAUGGGGAGCGAACAGGAUUAGAUACCCUGGUAGUCCAUGCCGUAAACGUUGGGCACUAGGUGUGGGGCCAGUUCCACUGGUUCUGUGCCGUAGCUAACGCAUUAAGUGCCCCCGCCUGGGGAGUACGGCCCGCAAGGCUAAAACUCAAAGGAAUUGACGGGGGCCCGCACAAGCGGCGGAGCAUGCGGAUUAAUUCGAUGCAACGCGAAGAACCUUACCAAGGCUUGACAUGUACGAGAAAGCCCCAGAGAUGGGGUUCUCUUUGGACACUCGUACACAGGUGGUGCAUGGUUGUCGUCAGCUCGUGUCGUGAGAUGUUGGGUUAAGUCCCGCAACGGGCGCAACCCUUGUCCCAUGUUGCCAGCGGGUUAUGCCGGGGACUCAUGGGAGACUGCCGGGGUCAACUCGGAGGAAGGUGGGGAUGACGUCAAAUCAUCAUGCCCCUUAUGUCUUGGGCUUCACGCAUGCUACAAUGGCCGGUACAGAGGGCUGCGAUACCGUGAGGUGGAGCGAAUCCCAAAAAGCCGGUCUCAGUUCGGAUCGGGGUCUGCAACUCGACCCCGUGAAGUCGGAGUCGCUAGUAAUCGCAGAUCAGCAACGCUGCGGUGAAUACGUUCCCGGGCCUUGUACACACCGCCCGUCAAGUCACGAAAGUUGGUAACACCCGAAGCUCACGGCCCAACCCCUUGUGGGAGGGAGUGGUCGAAGGUGGGACUGGCGAUUGGGACUAAGUCGUAACAAGGUAGCCGUACCGGAAGGUGCGGCUGGAUCACCUCCUU